rnacentral:rRNA from 1 species
AUUGAACGCUGGCGGCAGGCCUAACACAUGCAAGUCGAGCGGAUGAAGGGAGCUUGCUCCUGGAUUCAGCGGCGGACGGGUGAGUAAUGCCUAGGAAUCUGCCUGGUAGUGGGGGAUAACGUCCGGAAACGGGCGCUAAUACCGCAUACGUCCUGAGGGAGAAAGUGGGGGAUCUUCGGACCUCACGCUAUCAGAUGAGCCUAGGUCGGAUUAGCUAGUUGGUGGGGUAAAGGCCUACCAAGGUGACGAUCCGUAACUGGUCUGAGAGGAUGAUCAGUCACACUGGAACUGAGACACGGUCCAGACUCCUACGGGAGGCAGCAGUGGGGAAUAUUGGACAAUGGGCGAAAGCCUGAUCCAGCCAUGCCGCGUGUGUGAAGAAGGUCUUCGGAUUGUAAAGCACUUUAAGUUGGGAGGGAGGGCAGUAAGUUAAUACCUUGCUGUUUUGACGUUACCAACAGAAUAAGCACCGGCUAACUUCGUG